UGGGGAAUAUUGCACAAUGGGCGAAAGCCUGAUGCAGCGACGCUGCGUGAGGGAUGACGGCCUUCGGGUUGUAAACCUCUUUCAGUAGGGACGAAGCGCAAGUGACGGUACCUGCAGAAGAAGCACCGGCUAACUACGUGCCAGCAGCCGCGGUAAUACGUAGGGUGCGAGCGUUGUCCGGAAUUACUGGGCGUAAAGAGCUCGUAGGCGGUUUGUCACGUCGUCUGUGAAAUCCUAGGGCUUAACCCUGGACGUGCAGGCGAUACGGGCUGACUUGAGUACUACAGGGGAGACUGGAAUUUCUGGUGUAGCGGUGGAAUGCACAGAUAUCAGGAAGAACACCGAUGGCGAAGGCAGGUCUCUGGGUAGUAACUGACGCUGAGGAGCGAAAGCAUGGGUAGCGAACAGG
rnacentral:rRNA from 1 species